GAAGUAAAAGUCGUAACAAGGUUUCCGUAGGUGAAGGUUUGCCUACUGAAGCCCUUGGCCAGCGACUUUAAAUAAAUUGCCUGUAGUCGCCCCUCCGGGGGUUGGCGACGCCAUCAAUCUGUGUCUGGCAGUGCCUCUUUCGGGGGGUUAUCACCAGCAGCUCGCUGCCCUGCGGCGUCCGAGUUCACAGAUCAAACGAUAGCGGCCACUGCCUGUGGUUGAGAUAUGAUCGGCCUCCAGCUUUCACCGAGCUGGCGAAAACUUGCGGAACCUGCGGAAGGAUCAUUA
rnacentral:rRNA from 1 species